GACGAACGCUGGCGGCGUGCUUAACACAUGCAAGUCGAACGGAAAGGCCCUGCUUUUGUGGGGUGCUCGAGUGGCGAACGGGUGAGUAACACGUGAGUAACCUGCCCUUGACUUUGGGAUAACUUCAGGAAACUGGGGCUAAUACCGGAUAGGAGCUCCUGCUGCAUGGUGGGGGUUGGAAAGUUUCGGCGGUUGGGGAUGGACUCGCGGCUUAUCAGCUUGUUGGUGGGGUAGUGGCUUACCAAGGCUUUGACGGGUAGCCGGCCUGAGAGGGUGACCGGCCACAUUGGGACUGAGAUACGGCCCAGACUCCUACGGGAGGCAGCAGUGGGGAAUAUUGCACAAUGGGCGGAAGCCUGAUGCAGCAACGCCGCGUGCGGGAUGACGGCCUUCGGGUUGUAAACCGCUUUCGCCUGUGACGAAGCGUGAGUGACGGUAAUAGGUAAAGAAGCACCGGCUAACUACGUGCCAGCAGCCGCGGUGAUACGUAGGGUGCGAGCGUUGUCCGGAUUUAUUGGGCGUAAAGGGCUCGUAGGUGGUUGAUCGCGUCGGAAGUGUAAUCUUGGGGCUUAACCCUGAGCGUGCUUUCGAUACGGGUUGACUUGAGGAAGGUAGGGGAGAAUGGAAUUCCUGGUGGAGCGGUGGAAUGCGCAGAUAUCAGGAGGAACACCAGUGGCGAAGGCGGUUCUCUGGGCCUUUCCUGACGCUGAGGAGCGAAAGCGUGGGGAGCGAACAGGCUUAGAUACCCUGGUAGUCCACGCUGUAAACGGUGGGUACUAGGUGUGGGGUCCAUUCCACGGGUUCCGUGCCGUAGCUAACGCUUUAAGUACCCCGCCUGGGGAGUACGGCCGCAAGGCUAAAACUCAAAGGAAUUGACGGGGCCCCGCACAAGCGGCGGAGCAUGCGGAUUAAUUCGAUGCAACGCGUAGAACCUUACCUGGGUUUGACAUGGAUCGGGAGUGCUCAGAGAUGGGUGUGCCUCUUUUGGGGUCGGUUCACAGGUGGUGCAUGGCUGUCGUCAGCUCGUGUCGUGAGAUGUUGGGUUAAGUCCCGCAACGAGCGCAGCCCUUGUUCACUGUUGCCAGCACGUUAUGGUGGGGACUCAGUGGAGACCGCCGGGGUCAACUCGGAGGAAGGUGGGGAUGACGUCAAGUCAUCAUGCCCCUUAUGUCCAGGGCUUCACGCAUGCUACAAUGGCUGGUACAGAGAGUGGCGAGCCUGUGAGGGUGAGCGAAUCUCGGAAAGCCGGUCUCAGUUCGGAUUGGGGUCUGCAACUCGACCUCAUGAAGUCGGAGUCGCUAGUAAUCGCAGAUCAGCAACGCUGCGGUGAAUAAAUUCCCGGG
rnacentral:rRNA from 1 species